rnacentral:misc_RNA from 1 species
AUCACAUGACCGAAGAUCACAUGCACGAAUGUUGACAUCAACAAGGUAGCUAUGACUCGGCAGUGUCAGUGCUGCCAAUUCUUUCAGCCUCUAAGUGAAAGUGAAAGUUGUUCCCUUGUUUAAAUCGACGGAGGCAAAAUGGAAUCCAAUGGUCAUUUUGCUCAGCGAGAAAGUGAAGCUGCAGCUGGUCAGUACGACUCAGCGAUGGACAUCACAUCAGACAGCUCACUGCAAGGCCAGGACAAGCCCUGCAAGGCGGAUGCGGCAAGCAAAGAUGAGCACAGGAGAGAUUUGACAGCAUUUGAAGGCAGUUGUGUGGUGGUUCCACAUGCUGAGAAUGAUAUUGAAGCUCACCGAAUCUCAAACAACUAUUUGUUUGGCUUGAAAAAGUGGAAGAGUCACGUAACUUCACGCCCUUUGUCCACAAGAUCUGAAAUAGUCCAGGACCUGUAUGCAGAUAUCAACAAGGUGAAGCCCAUUAAAGUGUCAACUGUCUGCCCAACAAACAUUAUAUAUGCCUGUUUGGUUGGUUGGUGGCUGGCUUUGCUGUACAUCAUCGUCGGUGCACUCAUGUAUCUAACAUACAUCGGCAGAUCUUAUGGAAAAUUCUGUUGGAUGAUGUCAAGGUAUUUCCUCUGGCCAUUUGGAAAGUUUGUACAUCAGAUACAUGAUGUUCCGCUGUACUCUGUAGCAGAAUCCAGUUAUCAUGAUGUGACAUACACACAACACAAUGGAACAGCAAACAUGUCAGAAGAUACUGCUCUUUUGGCAGCAGAUGAUAAUAAAAAAGAAGCUAAUUCUCCACGCAAAUCCCUCUGGGUUCGCCCUCAGACAUACAUCUGGUGUGUAUUGGGCAUACCGCUACUCAUGGCAGUACACUUUGUUGUGUGGUUCAUAUCCUGGCUCUUUGUCAUCUCUAUACCCAUUGCAAAGGUUAACAGUAAGACAAUGAUGAAGAUAUUAUUUCUACCCCCUGAGGAAGUUGAUGUUGAGGACUCCAGUGAGAUGGUUUUGGAUUCCAAGAAGAGUCACAGUGAAAUUAUCAUGUACACACACCAGUCAGUCAACUUGUACUACUACAAGUAUACUCUGGAUGGCGUCAAUGUUAUUCUUGUCAAUCUGUUGAUAUUUGUCUUAUUGUCACUGGUGUUAGGCUACACCGAUACAGAAAAUGAGAUCACCAAUGGUGUCACAAAAUGCAUCCUCGGUGUUCUUGCCAUCGUGCCACUGACCUACUACAUUGGGAUGGCUAUUACAAGUAUCUCUGCCCAGAGCAGUUUUGCAAUUGGUGCCAUUUUGAAUGCAACAUUUGGCUCUAUGGUAGAGCUCAUCUUGUUUGUGAUAGUUCUGAAGAAAGGCAAAGACACAAAUAAAGAGUGCUUUCAAGAGCUUGUGAAGUCCUCCCUUGCUGGUACCAUCCUCGCAAGCAUUCUCUUCAUUCCUGGAGUGUGUAUGAUAGUAGGAGGAAUCAAAUAUCAGAUGCAGAGAUUCAACCCUCAGUCAGCAAGCGUCAGUGCAGCCUUACUCUUUGUAUCUAUUGCUGGAGUGUUUGCACCAACGGUUUUCUCAAAGCUGUAUGGGGACCUGCAGUGUAAGGACUGUGAGCAGGAAAUCAAAGAAGUUGACAUUGUGAAUGGCUCUGUUCUAAACUCAAACGACACUAAUCUUACAUAUGGUUUCAAGUGCACUUCAUGUACUCAGUCCGUGGUUGGAUUAAAUGGUGAUCUGAGUCUGUACCAGCAGCACAUUGAACCUCUUGUCUAUUCCUGUGCUCUAGUCCUUCCCAUUGCCUACAUUGUGGGGCUUUUCUUCACACUCAAAACUCAUUCUUCACAUGUCUACGGUGCUUUUGAAGAAGAGCUCAAAUCCACCAAUCAUGGAGGUGAAGGAGCCCCCCAGUGGAACAGAAUCAAGAGCACCAUUAUUCUGCUCAUAUGUGCUGUACUGAUUGCACUGUGUUCAGAUCUCAUCACAAACAAUAUACAACCACUUUUAGAGUCAUCAGGGGUAUCAGAGUAUUUUGUUGGAGUGACAAUGUUAGCAGUGGUUCCAGAGUUACCAGAGGUUGUCAAUGGAGUGCAGUUUGCACUGCAGAACAAUGUCAACUUAGGCUUUAUCAGAGUAGGAAAGUAUUGAGGGUCCUCAUUGGCUUGGCUUGGCAUGGCUAAAGGCAAGCAACUUAAGUCAGAUUACAGUAUGAAGUAGAUAGAAAUUGGCAGUUCCACAGCAAUUCAAGUGUGUUUGGUACAGGUGCCUGUACUGGUUCUCAUCAAUCUCAUAUAU